GGAUGAACGCUGGCGGCGUGCCUAAUACAUGCAAGUCGAGCGAACAGCCGAGUAGCUUGCUCCUCUGACGUUCGCGGCGGACGGGUGAGUAACACGUGGAUAACCUACCUAUAAGACUGGGAUAACUUCGGGAAACCGGAGCUAAUACCGGAUAAUAUAUUGAACCGCAUGGUUCAAUAGUGAAAGACGGUUUUGCUUUCACUUAUAGCUGGAUCCGCGCCGCAUUAGCUAGUUGGUAAGGUAACGGCUUACCAAGGCAACGAUGCGUAGCCGACCUGAGAGGGUGAUCGGCCACACUGGAACUGAGACACGGUCCAGACUCCUACGGGAGGCAGCAGUAGGGAAUCUUCCGCAAUGGGCGAAAGCCUGACGGAGCAACGCCGCGUGAGUGAUGAAGGUCUUCGGAUCGUAAAACUCUGUUAUUAGGGAAGAACAAAUGUGUAAGUAACUAUGCACGUCUUGACGGUACCUAAUCAGAAAGCCACGGCUAACUACGUG
rnacentral:rRNA from 1 species